AUAAUAAUUAUCAUGGUCAAAGUUUCAAUUAAUAUUCUAUAAAGAAAUAAAAAAGAACAAUGAACACGUGCAAAAUAUUGCAACAAUAAAAAUUUAUAAGAAGAUUUAUUGAUAGUUUCCUAGUCAUUAUGGUUUUUGGGAGGAGCUGAAUAAGAUUAACAACGCAAAUUAUAGGAAGGAUGACAGUAAAACUUUUAGUAAUGACAAAAAAAAAAGAAAA